GUGAAAUGUCAAAUCGUAAAGAAAGCACUUGGAGAACACAUCUGUCCACUUUCCACCCAAAAAUCAGAACACGGGUAGCCCAUCAAACAGCAACGUAAUUCUCGGGAUGUUGGCAAGACGGUGCCACCAUUCUGCAGCACAGACAACCUUGUCAUUAAAUACGAAGUUGUUAAUGUAACGGAACUCGGCUGAGGAGGAUCCUAGUGACCGACAUCGCUAACAGUUAUCUGAAUGUUCCACUCGGCCUUGUCUUUUACUCCGAAGCCUCUAACCCGACUGAAGUGUGCCGGUUAAAGAGGGGUUUGGUGCUACGAUAUUCUGAUCGGCUCUGGAGCCCACACAGUGUGAUUCACUGAAGACAUUUGUAUACCAAAUGCCAACACGUUCUUACUAUAAAACUUAAAAUGGCAGCUUCGCCUUCUUAUCCAGCUUCCAAGUCUACACUCCAGCUUCACCUACCACACCACAAUAUGUGUUAGUAAUCAAGAAACAGGCAUCUUUAACCCCAGAUGCGUUUAAUAUGAAUGUGCCGGCUGCAAGCAGGCAGCACAAUACAAGAUUCACGUCGUAUACGAUUGCUGUACAGAAAUGGCUUACAUCCCAAGUAAACAGCAGCGGCUGCCACCAGGAGGAAGAGCAGAAAGAAGGCGAGAAUGCAGCAGCCACAGCGGUAGUGGCCCCCG